GACAGAGGGUGCAAACGUUGUUCGGAAUUACUGGGCGUAAAGCGCGUGUAGGCGGUUUCGUAAGUCGGAUGUGAAAGCCCUCGGCUCAACCGGGGAAGUGCACCCGAAACUGCGGAACUAGAGUCUCGGAGAGGAUCGUGGAAUUCUCGGUGUAGAGGUGAAAUUCGUAGAUAUCGAGAGGAGCACCGGUGGCGAAGGCGGCCUUCUGGACGGUGACUGACGCUGAGACGCGAAAGCGUGGGGAGCAAACAGG
rnacentral:rRNA from 1 species